GGCAUGUUUGGUUCAAUUAAGAACCCAAAAAUAGAAUGAACAUGGAUGUAAAUAUCCCUAGUAUCCUCUUUUAAUUUUAUCUUUUUAGAUAACUAAAUACAAUUUAGUAAUAAUCUUAACAGAUAAGUGCCAAAAAAACCCUGCACUUUUCAAAAUUUUGCAAUUCUACCGCAUACUAUGAAAAUUACCAAUUAAACCCUAAACUUUUUAACUCUUACUAAUUCUACCCCAGUGUUAAGAAAACUGUUAUUUCACUAACAGAUACGUUACUUAAGACGCCAGGUAGAUAUGACAUAAUUGCAAUUAACGUAGAAAAGGAAGGAAUAAAUUUUAACAACUGUCCCU
rnacentral:misc_RNA from 1 species